rnacentral:lncRNA from 1 species
GUGGUGCUAGUGGUUGGUUCUUUAGUGGCAUUUAAAUAGAAUAGAUAUCCACCUGGAAUUACUGAGGGAAAACCAGUCUGUCUGCCUGUCAGUCUCUGUCUCUGUCUGUCUGUCUGUGUCUGUCUCUGUCUGUCUGUCUCUCUUUCUCUCUCUCUCUCUCUCACACACACACAGACACAUACACACACAUGCAGAGGCAAUAAACAACAGAAAAACAGGACAGAAUUCAUACAGAUUUUUCUGUAUUUUAAAGAGCAUUUCAAAGUUCAAAAAAUACAAUUCAAAAACAAACAUGGAAAAACAUUCAUCCCUGCUAUCAAAAAAUGUUAAUCAAACCAACAUUAACUUAUCAUUCUAUAGCUACCAUAUUAGCACUAAAAGUGAUCCAUUUAAUAACUAAUCAUUUGUUCACUGUUUUGUUAAUUAUAAACUGAAACAAAUCUUUUAUAUAGCAUUAUGGAGAUAUGUUUCAAAAGCCAUGAAAAUAUUUUAUCCAAUGGCUCAAUAAUAAGUAAAUAAUUCAGAAAAAACAUAUACAUGGAUUUUGUUCACCAAAUACUUUGUACUUUUUUCAUUCUUGCUAAAGCAAAACAUUGAAGACUCUGAUCACCAAAUUAAUCUCACAUUUAAAAAAUUCAAAUAUGGCAUUUAAAUGCUAUAAAAUGUUAAUAUAAAUAAGGGUAGAUUUUGAAUCAGUGAGACUUUUUGCCAUUUAUGAAUCUAUAAGCAGCAUUUACUAGCUCAAAUUAUGAAUGUCAAAUAGUUUUUAGACUACACCAAGAGUAACAUAAUUUUCCAGGUUAUGUAGGAGAAAAUUAAAGAAAGUUAAAAGAAUUGACUCUCAAAUGAAAAUCACUUCACAAAUUCAAUUUAAUUCAAAUUAGCACUAAAACUAAGUGAGCAUGAUUUCAUGUAUAUUAACAAUGUAUUACUAAUUAAUAUUUUUAGUAUCUUUACAAAGGUACUUCUUCUAAAGAAGUAACAUUUCCAGAAAAAAAAUACGGCACGAUAAUUGUAAUAAAUUUUAUUCUACCUCAAAAAGGAAAAAUCCAGCAAACGUUAAAAAGCAUGUUGUUUUACUUCUUCACAUUCUCUUUCCUUUUAUCAUAGACUCUCAAAAUCAUAAAGUAUCAAAAAAAGGUCUUUAUUUUGAGCUUUCUGAGGGUAGGUUUUGUCCACUACAAAAACUUAGCACAAUACCUAGGAAAUAUAGUAUCUAUUCAUACAAGGAAAUGAAUUAAUCUGAAAUGUUACUAAUCCAAGCACCCACCCAUAUUUCAAUCUCAUUAAUAGCGUCUCAAAUCCUUGUUAACACCUUCAAGGAAGAAAACACAAUUGUCAAAGUCAUCCAGCACAUCUUUGGUCAGCUAUACUUCUUAAGAGCUAGUGGAAAUUUAUCUCUCUGAUAUUCAGAUAUUAAUCCAAUGUUUAAUUCACUGGGGUUCUGUGGUAGAAUUUUAUCCUGGUUCACAUAAAGUCCUUGCAAUAUCCAGAUCCAGACUGAAAGAAGGGAUCAAAUUAGGUGACCCAACUUUUCCACUCAGAUAUAUAUUCAACAGACUUGACAACGUAUGUCCACACAAAAACCUGUACAUGAAUGUUCACAGCAGCGUUAUUCGUAACAGCCCCCAAAAAGCAAAUGACCCAAAUUUCCAUCAACUGAUGAAUAUAUAAACAAAAUGUGGUAUAGUCAUACAACGAUAUAUUAUUUGGCAAUAAGAAGAAAUGAAAUACUGAUAAUGCUACAACAUGAAUGAAUCUUGAAAACAUUACGCCAAAUGAAAGAAGCCAGUCACAAAGGUCACAUAUAUGAUUCCCUUUAUAUGAAAUGUCCAGAACAGAUAACAGACAAAUCAAUAGAGACAGAAAUAUUAGUUGCCACAGCAUGCUUGGAAGAGAGAAAUGGAGAAUAAUUGCUAAUAGGUUUGGGGUUUCUUCUUGGGGUGCCGAAAAUGUUCUGAAAUUAGAUAGUGGUUAUAGUUGCACAACUCUUUUUUCCUUUUUUUUUUUUUUGAGACGGAGUUUCACUUUUGUCACACAGGCUGCAGUGCAAUGACGCUAUCUCGGCUCACCACAACCUCCGCCUCUUGGGUUCGUUCAAGCAUUCUCCCGUCUCAGCCUCCCGAAUAGCUGGGAUUAUAGGCAUGUGCCACCACACCUGGCUAAUUUUGUAUUUUUAGUAGAGACCGGGUUUCUCCAUGUUGGUCAGGCUGGUCAGAACUCCCGACCACAGGUGAUCUGCCCGCCUCAGUCUCCCAAAGUGCUGGGAUUACAGGUGUAAGCCACCGUGCCCAGCCCUUUUUUUUUUUCUUUUUCUUUUCUUUCUUUUUUUUUUUUUUUUUUUUUUUUGAGGUGGAGUCUCGCUCUGCCGCCCAGGCUGGAGUGCAGGGGCUCAAUCUCAGCUCACUACAACCUCCACCUCCUGGGUUCAAGCAAUUCUCCCUGCCUCAGACUCCCAAGUAGCUGAGAUUACAGGGGUUCGCCACCACAGCCAGCUAAUUUUUGUAUUUUUAGUAGAGACUGGGUUUCGCCAUGUUGGCUAGGCUUGUCUCAAACUCCUGACCUCAGGUGAUCCACCCGCCUCAGCCUCCCAAAGUGCUGGGAUUACAGGCAUGAGACACCGUGCCUGGCCAAUAGUUGCACAACUCUGUUGAUACACUAAAAAACACUUAAAUGUAUACUUUAAAAAUGGUGAAUUUUAUGGUAUGUGAAUAAUAUCUCAAUAAAGCCUUUAUUAAAAAAUUGGAAAGUGUUCAAGCACAAGCUGGCUGAUUAUUUGUGUGAGUACUGUAGAAAGAAUUAUUUCUACUGAUUAUUGUACUAUAUAGUCCAAAUAUUUGAUGAUUUUUUACAAUUUCAACAGAGCUAAAUGCCGCUGACUUAAAAUGAACAAAGGAGUUAAGCAGCUCUUUAUAUUAAGACGAUUGGUCCAUUAAGAGAAUUAAAAGUAAACCUCAUCAACUGCACAAAACCAAAGCCUCCUCUCAAGAAGUCUAAUAUAAAAGGUUAAAAAAUUUGAAUAAAACAUUCAUUUAUUCCUCUACUUUAGUGAGAAACAGACUUUGAGGAGAUAUUUAAAAAGCAGACUGAGAAGUUAGCUUUGCUGACCAUAAUUCAGCCUAUAUAAUAUUAAGAUUAAAACACCUUAUUUUAAACAUACUUAGAGAUUCUCUUUGCUAAUCAGGACCUAAUUUACUUAGCCUUUUCACAUGAUCAAAUGGCAAUUUACUAUCAGAAUUACCAAUGACCUACCACAAUAGUAGUUAAGAAUUAUGCCAUAGUUAAAUAUCUAGCUAUUUUAUUAGUAUAAAUAUAAAUUUAUAUUUAAAAUAAAUAAAUUUGACUAAAUUUAUACUAAUAUGAAUUUAUACUAAUAUAUAGUAUAAAUUUAAACUAAUAUUAAUACAUCAUAGUAUUAGUAUAAAGAAAGUAUUACCAUUGUAUUAAAAUAUUAACAUUCAUUUCUUUGUGGGAAAAUAGGCAUAUCUGUACUCAAUACAUUUAAGAUUAAGAAUUAUAUAACCCAGUGUUCAAGUUAUCACUUCCUGUCUUAAAAGCUGCUAGAAACUGUUUUAAAUGACUCAUAGAUAAGAUUUUUGUGAACUAGUGAUAUUUACCACCUUUGCAAAAUUCAAAGUAUACCUAUAUUUAACCCCAAAAGAAAGACAUAUCUUUCAUGAGUACUUUUAAGUAAACUUUCAUUUUAACAGUCUAAUGAUACCUUUUGCUCCACCUUCAAAAACUGAGCCAGUUCUU